GCGGCACCGCGAGGGGGAGCCGGGGCGCGGCGCGAGGUUCCGGCCGGGGUGGGCUGCGCGGGGUGCCCGUGGUGGGCAGCCCAGCCUUUCCCGUAGGGUUUGCGGCGUCCCUAGGCUCCCUGCCUCCCGGGCAGGGUCCCGGGCCCGCGGCCUCGAUCUCCUCCUUUUCGGGAGUAAACAUUAUUACCAUCCCAAGUUCACGGCUUGGAAAAGGAGGCUCAAAGAGUUGACCAGCCACCAGCCACAAAGCCUGUAAGUGAAGGCAUCUAGCUUCCUUCUACGAAGAGAAAGCCCAGGGCUUGGCUCGACCUUCUCACCACCGCUACCCCCAGCUUCCGCUCCCUGGGCUCUUCACGACCAGCUGGAGCCUUCCAGAACCUCUCCAGAGAACAGCUCUGCUCCAGGUAACUUCUGUGAUUACACAGUUCCACGAAGAUUUUCUAGAGAUUACUGUGUCUUGGCCUUCAUUGUUUCAUUCAAGGUGGGGAUUUGGGGCCGAGUAGAAGCAGAAGAUGAGACCUGGAAGGGAUGGUACUGGGGACAAGGGGACCUUAACAGGUGGGCAUCUCUCUACGCGUGGAGGGUGUCCACUUUUCUGUGUCCUGGUCGGGUCGUUUUGUUACGUUGUGAAGAUGAGAGACGCUUACUCGCUGAAUGCUCAGUUCACAAAUAUUAAGUGACAGCAUUGAUUCCAGCAGGCCGGGGCCUCUGGGGAUCCCUGGCAGCAAAGGCUGCCUCACUGCCACCCAGUGUGCACCCGGCCUGCUUCCUCCCCGGCACCCGCCCCAUGUCUGUUCCUGUAUAAUCAGAGAAGCACGCGGGCAGAGUUGGAAAUAGCGCUUGCCCGACCUAAGGUGACACACCCGAGGACUCUGAGCUGCCCUCCUCUGCCAUAUGCGUGACCCAAACGCCACCACAUGGGCACACGGCACCUGUGCAGACAACAGCAGGAAACGGGGCCCACGGAACCUCUGUUCCCUGGCUUAGGCUUUGACGAGGUCUGGGGCGAAGGGGGUUGUUGCUGGCUUCUCUGUGUGUCUAAAAGGAACAGCUCUUCUGGCUGUCGGGCAGGGUGAUGGGGGAGGUGAGUCAGUGUCUGCCUACCGUGGGCCAUUUCCUGCUUUGGGCCUGAUGUCAUCGACUGCGUCUGGGCCACUCCCACCCCUAAGGGACUUUGGGGUGACGAUGACAAAAUUCAGACUGGAGGGGGAAGGUGUGAGUUCCCUGUGGAAGGCUAGGCCUGUGUCUUACUAAAGGGCUCUGCCUGCCCUUCCCCCUCUCCUGCCUCCCGCUGAGAGCCUCUUAGUGAAAGUACCCUCUGAAUGCCUGGCACCGUGAUGGUGGUAAUUACCGUUGCUUGAUGCGUUGCUAAGUGACUGAUGGGAUCUAGUUGAAAUAUAUUAGCUGGGGUCCUGAAAUUUUGAGAACAUCAGCUUCCUCUGUAGAAUAAUGAAAACCCAAGAACCAUCUUAGCAAUAAAAUUGUAUCCAUUAUCCUGGAACGGUCACAUCCUAUUUGUUUGUGCCCUCGGAGAAGGCCCGAGGGAUGAGGCACCUCGAUCCCUCUUUCCCCUGAAACGUCUGAAACAGCCUCGCUGCUCCCGUGACUGCGCACAUUUCCAGGUUUUCAGUAAAAGCAUCUCUUGAUGAAGAUGGAGGAAUUUUGCUGGAAGCAUUUGAGGUGCUUCCUUUUUAUAAAGACUGUCUAAAGCACCAACAGUCUGAACUCCAGUUUAAUUUACUUUAAAGAUGUCAGCGCCACCAGUUUAUACAUUUUUGCCCCAGACAGUAAUAAUUUAGAGUAAAUAUAUGUAAUGUUUCUCAGCUAUCUUCUGGAAUGUUUCAUGUCCCAGUAUGGAUUAUUUUUACUAGAAUUGUCAAUCUGGACCUUUCAUAAUUGAAAAAAAUGUAUCGUACACUGUGUGUGUAAUAUACACGUAUGUUGUAUAUAUACAUACAUAUUUUUAUUGUGGUAAGAACGCAUUUCAUGUAUACAUAUUUUCUGAAUACAAAAUUAGAAAAUUUAUAAAAUACUAAAGAACACAAGUACGUCUUUCCACACUCCUCUAGAUGUAUUUUUUUCACUGUUCGCGUUUGAUAUUUUCCUUUUUUUCCCUUUCGUGGGUUAUUUAGAUAUUUUUGUUUGUUCCUUUAAAACAUGGUUUCAGUCAUUUUUGCCUUGGACAUUAAGAAUGAAAGAUACUGUUAUUCUUAUGUUAUGACUUAAAUGAGACAUAAUCUCACAAAUUCUCAAAUAUGUGUAACCUUUUUCCAACCGCUACCAUUUUCCCCGUAACCUAGAGAACCUGGACCGUACCAAAUUCUCUGAGCAAACUCUGCUUCCCAUGGCCAAGGCUUUUCACAGGACUGGAGUGAAUUUCCCCUAUUCAGCCCACCCCACAUUCCCUGAGUGGUUAAGAGCACAGGCCCUGGAUGGAUGGAGUGGGUGCAAAUCCUGACUCUGCCACUUAUUAGCUGUGUGAUCUAGGGCAAGUUACUUGACCUCUCUGUGCCUCUAUUGCCUCAUCUGUAAAGCGGAAUAAUAACAGUACCUGCUUCCUGGGGUUGUUUUGAGGACUGAAUGAAUUAAUAUGGGAAAGCACCUAGAAGACCCCCUGUCCGCACAAGUGAGGGGGUCCCGGAGACUGUAUAGUGUUAUAGCAAUCUUAGCUAUUGCAGUUGGCAUCACUGUUUCCUUCCCUCCUUCCAGGGAGCUCUUCUCCAUAAAUCAGGGCUCAGCGCCAAUGUCAGUCUCUCCACAAUGUGCCCUCCUCUGUGCCUCGUAAUACAGUGCACACACUUCCAUGUUACAAUCCUGGCCUCUAGUCCACGAGGCUGUGCACAGCAAGGAAAGGUGUUGUGGGAAUGACGAGCUGCAGAGCUCCUAAGCGGGGAGCUGAGGAUGUUCCUCCCCACCCCCAAACCCUGAGGGUCUGCAGGUCGAUGGGCGUCCCCGAGCUGUGCAGGGCAGUUCUAAGCACAGGCACCCCGAGGGCAGGGCACAGACUGGACCAGCCCCUGCAGGAGGCAUGAAACCUGAGAGAGCCUUUUCCCCCCACUUUCCAACUUUCUGGCUCCCUCGUCACUUGUCUUCUGAAUGCAGGCUUUCUUCACACCAAAAUCUGAGUUGCCAGAGACUUUUGGUGAGGCCAGCCGUGCUGAUGGCCACGGGGCCAAGCUGGGCACGGACGGGGUGCUGGUCAUUUUCUCGGAAGCUCCAGAGCCCAGGGUUUGCUCUGUUUCAAGGCAAACAGAUUAUGGAAAAGACUGACGUCGGUAUUCCCCUCUCCGAGGUGAGAAAGCCAGUAAGCCCUGCAGAGCCUAAUCAUUCUGUCUUCUGCUGAAAGUGUGCAGGGCAGAGGUGAACAGCAAGUAGGCAUUGGGUAUCCAGCCAGGCUGCUGCGGUCCUGUUCCCUCCGUCACCACCCUCUGCUCUCCGGGGGCUCCCUGGCUCACCCAUGCCCCAUCCCAACUGCCAGGCUUUUCACCUGUAACACAAGACUCCCGGCCCACACCGUGCCCCCCACCACGUGGUCUGCACAGCUUUCUCUAGAAUAGUCUUUGCAGAGGGGCGAGCAGCCACUUACCACCAAACUUGUAAAAUCCGCCAGGGAAGAUGCACUUGAAAUAUGCAGUGCCUUUUUUAACUAUAAAAUCAUAUUGAGGUACCUCUUAAGAGUGUUUAUCGGACCUUCGAGCACUGAAGUUCUGGGAAAAUACAGUCUCCGGGACCUCCUCACUUGUGCGGCCAGGAGUCUUCAGAGAAACCCCCAAAUUGUUUUCCUGUUCACAGUUCCCUCCUUUGUUUGCCAACUAAGUCCCAGACAUGCUUUAUUUGACUGUGAAGAAAUGCUACUUGUUUAUCAUCAGUUAUUAUCUAUGCCUAGUUGUCAUGUGGUACAAAACCAGUAACAAGCAUCAUUUCAACUACGGGGCGGAUUAAUUUUGUUACAUUUAUUAUUGAUUAUACCAAAUUUUGUUGAACACUCGUAGUCUGAUGCUUUUGUAACUUGCUGCCAAUAUUUUCUUGUUUUUCUUAAUUAGAAGAAGUAUUUGUUAGGUCUACUCUUUUAAUCUUAUCAGCAAAGCCAGUUUUCCACUGGGUACCUGUAAGCAUAGCCCGUGCUAGUUUUCAGGACCUGAGAAGAUGGGGUGUGGAGGUGACAACUCCAAAAUAUGAAAAGAAAAACCUGCAAUAGUUAAAUUAAUGUUUAAUUAAAUGAAACAUAGCACAUCAAUUAGUCAAAUGCAACUUAACUUUUAUAUCAUAACAUAUAAGUUAUAAUAAAAUAAAAACUUUACAAAACGGAAAUUUAAAUACUUUUGAUAUGGUAUGGGUGGCGCCUCCAGGAGCAGGAGUAUCUUAGAUGCACACAGCCCUUAAACAACUGGAUCAUCCAUCCUUCACAAUUAGUAUCAUUGUCUGGAUAUAAAGGAAUACUUUAAAAUUUUUUGAUAACUAGAAGAAAGAUGGAGAUUAAAGAAGAUAGAGACGCAUUAUAUAGGAAAGGGAUGCCCUGAGAGAGCUCGAACAGAGCUGUGAAGAGGGAGGGUGAGAGGCACGUGCGUGCGCUUUGCCUGGGAGGAAACCAGACGUCUUGGACCAGUCAUUUCCCCUCACUGGCCGGCAGGGGGCGCAUGGCCGAGGACCGCUUGCUUGCUUCGGGUGAAGCGGGGAGAGAUUUGGUGAAUUACAGGAUAGAGAAGCAAUGUGCAGCCAGACACUUCUGUGUACUGGGCGUUGCACAGUCAAAUUUUAGUUAACUCGUGGAGUACGUGUAUACCGUGCAGAUUCGCAGGUGACUUUUACAGUUGCAUAGUUUUGUGGGGUUUUUUUUAACAUCUUUAUUGGAGUAUCAUUGCUUUACA